rnacentral:lncRNA from 1 species
GAUGCCAUCCAGGCGCACGGCGGGUAUAGUGGUUCCGCAACCUUGGGAUGUUCGGCUGAGCGCCUGCCUAACAUGGGAGCGCCUGCCUAACCCUCCUGACUGGAGGGUCAGCGGCGGGGAGUCCUGGCCUUCAAUCGGCCAUCGCCACGGCAGAAACUGGGGCCCGGGCUGCGUCCAGGCCCUUCCCCGUCCGUCCACAGGUCUCAUGGGCGCCCGGACUGGGGCUGAUGUAGUUUCCCGACCUCUGACACAUAGGAUCUGGAGAUUAAAGCUGCUCUGCUAAUAAUUAGGUUCCCACCUCUCAAGAUCAUUAGGAGCUUCUUUUCCAAUUCCUCUGUUUUGCAUGCAUUGGAAGGAAAAUGGUGACGCCGAGGGUGACUGAUUUCCAGGUUUACAUCGGUUGCCCCAGGGGAAGUGCCUGGCCCCCAUCUGGUCCUUGCUGCUCUAACUUUGCCCUGUUAAUUGAAGAAAUGCAGGAUCUGGAGCUCAGGACCCACUACCUCCCCGGCCCACUGCAAGCUUGAACAUUUGAUGGUGGACACCCCUCCCUGACUUUGUAUUAUGUGUCACUGGUGUGGGGGUUACCUUCCCACUAUGUCUCCCAGAAGACAUGAGGGCACAGACUACAGUGCCUGUGGACAGAGGAGCUGUGGGGAUGGAAGUGUGAUUGCUUCAUUCAAAUGCACGCCCCGGUGCGUGUGCGUCUCUUCUGAUGCAGCUCCCCAUGGAUACCCCAUCAGCCUGAGUCUCUUAAAGGCCUUUAUACACAUAUGUCUACACAUAGGGAUUUGGAUGAUCUCGGGAUCCCACAUCCUCGCUGUCCCCUGUCCCCCCACAACAUCCCACACCAAUACCUUUCUGAAGUUUUCUAGUCCCUCCUUUUUGUUUGUGGUCCUUAAAGCCCAGCCCCAUGCCUGACUUUGGUUCCCAGUGAGCAUUGUACAUUUGUGGAUAUUAAAUCUUUGGCAAAGUCAUUUA